rnacentral:lncRNA from 1 species
AUAUUUUUUAGGUGGUGGUGGAGAUUCGUACUUGUAUGGUGGAGGAUAUUUCUUAGGUGGCGGUGAAGACUCAUACUUGUAAGGUGGAGGAUAUUGUUUUGGUGGUGGUGGAGACUCAUACUUGUAAGGUGGCGGAGGAGAUUUUUUGGGAGGAGGUGGAGACUCGUACUUGUAACUUGGAGGAGACUUCUUAGGUGGUGGCGGAGAUUCGUACUUAUAUGGUGGUGGUGGAGAUUUAUACUUAUAGGGCGGUGAUUUUUCGGGAGGAGGUGGAGAUUCAUACUUGUAAGGUGGAGAUUCAUACUUGUAUGGCGGAGAUUUUUUUGGUGGAGGAGGAGAUUCAUAUUUGUAAGGUGGAGAUUUUGUGGGGGGUGGAGAAUCAUACUUGUAAGGUGGAGAUUCAUACUUGUAUGGCGGAGAUUUUUCCGGAGGAGGGGGAGAUUCAUACUUGUAAGAUGGAGAUUUUUUCGGGGGAGGAGGGGAUUCAUACUUGUAAGGUGGGGAUUUAUCUGGAGGAGGUGGAGACUCAUACUUGUAAGGCGGAGAUUUUUCAGGUGGAGACUCGUAAGCAGCAGUAGUCAGAACCGGAAAGUUCAGUGACACAAGUAGCACCACAAGGGUUGCAAGAAAAGAGGCCAUUCUAGAACCCAUGCUCAUAGCUCCCAUAUUUUCUUUAACUGCAUGCAUGUGUUGCUGGUGCUCUCAUGCAUCCCAGUACGCUUGGCUAUUUAUACUAAAAUUAUUUACCUAUACAUUUGUCCGUUAUUCUGGUCCUGUUAAAUUCUCAUGCAUCGAGUAAAUAUGUUAACAAGUGAUUUUCUGCCUCUAACAUAUACGUGCUAGAACUCAUUCAUGUGAUCCUGACAAUACACCAAAACUUGACUUUUAAGUUCUUAACCAGGCUAUACACAUGCUAAAUGCCUAAAUGUAAUCAGAUGUUAAUUCUUUUAUAGCUUUAAGGUUCUGAUCAUGAUUUACAGUAGAGUUUUCUGUUUUCAGUAAAGUUAUAGUACGGCAGACUCAAAUCCAUUAUAUAUAGGAUAAAGUAUGGAUAUAUUGAAUAUCGAAUCAAAUUAGGCACUGUCAAAAUUGGAAUACCUCAACAGUCUAUAAGACAGAUCGAUGAAGACGAUCUAACAAGAGAAUGCUUGAGCAUUAAUUCUAGAACCGGUCCCUAACAAAUCUUGCACAAAUUCUAAUCUGCAACUGAUUACACAUUCAGACGGGACUUUCAAAUUCUUUUCGUAAAAGGAUCAUUUUCUUUGCUAAUUUUCGAACUUUUCAAAAUCUUUUCGUGAAAAAUAGUACUAUCAAACCGCUCACUUACCAAUUCAAAAUGUAACAAGCAGUUGUUCAUCCUUUCUCUGCCAAGGCUACCAGAAAAUGCAGACAUGAUCCGUCACGACCCGACUGGAUCCAACUAAAUCCAAAAUUAUGGAUUAAAAUUUGAGUCUGGGUUUUAUUUUGAAGUCUGGAUUUCAGGUUGAGGCUUCCCUUACUCAACGGGACUCGAAAAUCGAAAACUGAUUGCUCCUAUAUUUGAGUUAUAUGUACUAGUCCUAAAAGAGGGGAGAGUAUAUAGUUAAAUUUUUUAUGACAACAUAAUGUAUUGAAAUUUAAAAAAUAUUAUUAACAAAUUUUAUUAUAUUUUCUUCUAAGAGUUAAUAUUUUCAAUAUUCUUUUAUCUUAAAUGGAUAGUAGAAAUAAUAUAUAUUUAAUUAUCUGUUUAUAAGUAUUUCAAUAAUAAUAUAUGUUAUUGAUAGUACUUAAUUUUAUUUAAGGAUAACACAAAAUAUAAUCAGAUUAUACUAAUCUUUUCUUAUUAUAGUAUAGUAUAAAUUGCAUACAGUAAAUUUUAUAUAACCAAAAUUAUUAGUCUCUCUGCUUUUACAUAUCCCUUUUAAAAAACCAAUUUCUUCUGAAAUAUUUGUUCAUUUCUUAUUCAAUAAAUAUUUUUUAAAUUAUAAUUUCUAAUAUUUGACUAAAAUAUAUACACACACAACUUAAUCUAAUUCACUAUGAUUUUUAGGAUGAAAAUAUGAAAAUGUAAUUAUUUUUAAAAAGACUUCUAAGAAGAGACGAAGUUAAUAAUAUUUUAAUAAUCUAAUCUAAUUUUAAACUCUAAAAUUAUCUCCAUCGUCUAAGCGCUUCCAUCCGCUUUUAACGUGGAAAGCCCAAACUUUUUUAGUUGUUUUAUCUAAUUUUUUCUUCUUUCAAUAAUUAUGCUCUUCGAGAAAGGAUUUCUCUUCCUUGGUUUGCUUUUCUAGAACUACGUCAUCGCCUCAUCAGAGCUUUCGGUUUAUUUCUUUAUUCGAUUCAAGGGGAUGGAGCUCAUCAGAUAAAGGAGUUGAUCGGGUUUCGACUAUGUGAUCAAAGUUUUUUUUCUAUUUUUAUUUGUUUUCAGUUUAUUAUUGUUUUAAGUUUUGACUUGUAUUUUCAGAUUGUUUUCUCUUCUUGGUGAGAGCUUUAAUUGUCAUUUCUUAACUGCAAGAGGGGGUCUUGAUUUGGUGAUGAAAAUUGGUAUGGAAUAGCGGUUCUGAACCUCGUCGAUAUAGCUCAAGCGAUAGCUCUAUCAGGCAUGAUGAAGAAAGGGUAUCAGUAAUUAAACGAGAAUAAGUGGGUACUUGUAUUUGUAUAUACAUUAUCGUCAAAUUCCAUUUAACUACCUCAUUAUGAGAACAUUGGUGUACAUGCCGGAUGGCUUUUUAGUCCCUGUGUUAGGAUAUAUUAGUCUAUCGAUUUUUUAAUGUAUUUUAAGAAUUUUGACCGCAUAUUUAUAAAUAUUAUUUUUAAAAUUUCUUUUUGUAAAUAAAAAUAUGAUACUAAUAUUUUUAUUCACAAAAAAAAGAAAAUUUUAAAAUAAUAUUUAUAAAUGUACAGUCAAAACUCUUAACUCUUAAAUGUACCUGGAAAAAAAAUCAAAUCACUGUUAUAUCCUGGUUAGCGGAGUAACUGUUUUUGAGAUGGAAGGCUAGCAUGGGAGCCGGCGUUGCAGUAUUUUCCCUUCUCUGUUACUGUGGCAAGGUAUUUGUGCAACUAAAUUAGGUGGCUAAAGUUAGUGAAAGAUCUUCUGCCCUGAGACAAUGAUGUGUUUAUUUGACGGAGCUCGAUACCAAAAAUCAUCAAAUGUAAAUGAUUGAAUCCAGAAAUGUUGCAUUUUGUAUACAAGUAUUUAUUUAUGUAAUAGGAGGAUUGCUAGCACUGGUGAAUUAAUGCUAAUAAUCCAUACGGGAAACAUGGAGUUGCGGGUGUGGGAACGAUGAUAUAAGAAAAUUCGAUAAACUUUUAAAAUUAAAAUUCGAUAAAUUUUUAAAAAUAGAGUCCGGAAGCGGGAAUAUGACAAAAUAUUAAAAUACUAUACAUAUAUAUAUAAUUUGCAAAAUUAAAUGAAAUACAUCAAAUAUUUACUCGUUAGAAAUAGCAUUCUAACAUCAAAUAUUCUCCGGAGUUACAAGUGAACCUAUAGCGUCGGCAUUCUCCCGACGGACGUUAUAAGUGAACCGAUGCUAAAUAGUCCAUACGGAAAGUCAUUUUUAUACUAGUGUGCUAUCAUACUCAAGUCAAAAUUACAAAAAUACUAUAAGAAGAGUGCAAAUUCAAGGUGUCAAUAUUUAUAUGUCAUUUAAUAAACAUAUAUAACAAUACUGAAUCAACAAUCAAGGAUAUUAUAAGAAAAAUCAGCAAACAAAAAAUUGAAAAAUUAAAAGGGAAUAGCUUGAUUAAGAGCGACUUAUUUAAUGAAAAAGACCAGACCCAAUACAACACAUAUACCAGCUCCCACCAAUUGACAGUACAUAUUUUACGCACAAAAGAAUUGCAAUAAUUGUAGCUGACGAAGAACUAUAUGUUAUACACAAAAAUCACCAUGAAGACCCGGCCCAUAAAAGAAGAUUAUGAUGGGCUUAAGAGUGGACCAAGCCCAAACUAGCCAUGUAAGUCAGAAAGGAUCACUACACGAAGAUUGGGCGCGCCUUAUCUUAAGGGUGCGCCAAGUUGAAGCUUACAGAGAAAGAUCAUCAUUUGAAGGGCAGAAGGGGACAUAUUUUACCUAGGGGGACGCCUUUGGGUGUGUAUAGAUCCUACUGUUAAUUUGUCGAAGACUCUACCUUGUAGUCUGAGGAGUUGCCCUCCUUGGGAGAUAGAGAAUGAAGAUUAGAGGAGGCCUUGCUCUGUAGUCUGGCGAGUUGUCCUUGUCGGGGAGCUUGUGGAACCUUCUCGAAGAUACGCCCUGGAAGGCUCUAUCUCUGUAGUCUGGCGGGUUGUCCCUGUCGGGGAGUAGAGAAGUGCCCUUGCAUUUGGGGUAAGUUUUGGGUGCUCGAGAGUCUACAAGGCCCAAGACUAGGCCUCAUCGUAUUGGGCCCCUUUCAGGAGGAAGAUAGCAGAAGGGGAAGCCUAAUCCUAUUAGGUUUAGGUUUCCUAAGGAGAAAAGAACUACGUACUGGCUUGAUCCCCUAUAAAUAUAGGGGUACGUAGGCAAAUUAGGGGGACACGAGUUGAGAGCAUCUGGAGGCAACUCGAAACCCUAAUCUCAGCCACCCCAAUAUUUUCCAUCACCACCGCUUAGCCACCGUCACAGAUCUUGAUUCCGGCCACGAACCUCGAAUUUUGUUAACUACCAAAUUCCUCCGUUAACAAAUUGGCGCUAGAAGGAGGGACUGUUUCUAGAUUCAUCUGCGGAGGACAGAUGAUGCGGCGUUAAAGUUUAUACACGUGAUCAGCAACAGAUGGAGAAUAUUACCGUCACAGCUUUGUCUCGGACACUGGGAUGCAUAUCAUGCACGACAAGAUACUCACAUUGAAAUCCAAUAGCAUGCCUAAACUUUAAAUAAAGUUCGGGAAUUAAUGGGUGUGAGAUGUGAACAAAAGCACGCAACAAGUCGGCCAGACGUCGAGCAACUUAAGCCGUAAGCCACCACAAAUUUCCGAUACGACCGACGAAGAAGAUAAGUUUCCGUUUUCAAAUAUUAAACUUAUUUAUUUACAAAAAAUAUUGUUUUGUGAAAAUUAUGCUUUUUACUCAAAACAUACAUUGAAUAUAUUCAUCGUUGUUAACGUGAAUAUUUUAUGGAAGGACAUGUUUAUUACGUUUGAUUGAGUUGUUAUAUGAAUUUAUUAUUUACGCGUACUUAACGUCCUGAGUUUUUUUUAUCAGUCACGAUAUAUGUGUCGAGGCAUAAAAUUAGCAAAACAGUAAAAAGGAGGACUUGUUUUGGAAUAGCCGGAUGACAAAAGCCUGUUACUUUUUACUAGUACAUGAGUUUAGUAUGUGCACUGACGUCACCGAGGUCUCCAGCUAAGCGCCGACUUGUAAACGGAAAAGAUAAGCUUUUUUCAAUUUUAUUUAAUUUAUAUAGUUUUACUUGUAAUUGUACAUGUGCAGAAAAAAUAUGGUUUGUGUUCAAACACUAGGAGGUUGUAGUAUAUAAACCAAUAAACAGCGCGCGGAACUAUUUGACUGAGGGACAAGCGGAAUGAUUCCCUGCGGUAAAGGAAACCAACUCCAGCAGAACAAAUUCAGACCCAAACAACUUUCAAAGAAAAAAAGAGAUAAGAUUUUCUUUAUUUAAUUCAUAUUUAUGUACUUGGAUUUAUUACGCGGAUUGAAUUUAUUAUGACAUGCAUCAUUGUAUUUUAUAAGAUUGUGCACCAACUCGGCUAUUAAACUAUUAGGUCCUCUUAUUAUAAUUUUUACUAAUCAUGAAUAUUACAAUAUUUUAUUAUAUGGACCAAAAGAACGGCAGGCUAUGAACAGGUUUAAGAAGAGUGGUAAUUGAAGGGGAAGAGAAAGAAAACCAAGGAAUGGAGCAAAUUGCCGAAGCUUGAAUGGCUGGUUUAAAAGGAAACCGACACUUAAGAAUUAAAGGAGCACAUGACGAGCUGACAUAAAUGGCAGCCAGCAAAAAUAAAGAUAAGCCUUUCUUAAUUUUCCUUCGUAUCAUAUAUUAUUUCUUUUCUGUACAUAAAUGCACGGAUUAUUUUUAAAGAUAAUUUGACACGUAGAAUUGUGAUUGUGUACAUGUUAAGUGUAUAUAUUAUUAUUAUUUUGGAGUUCUUUGUUUGUGGGUCAAUGUGGAAAAACAACAGGAUCUUGGUGAUAGUGCAUACAAACAUACCGGAAGAUAGAGAGCAUAUGUUGUUAUAAUCGCUGACAUGUCUUGAGGUGCAGGUGCAUGGAGUUUCUCAUGUUCAAUGUAGAGAUAAGUAUUUUUCAUUUUUUGUAAUUUUCAUUUGGUAUAUAUAUUCUUGUCAUACAUAUAUUUAUUCUUGGAUAUGUAUGUUUUAAAUUUAAAUAUUUUAUGAGUAAUCGCAGUAUAUAUUUCGCUAAUAGGGUAUUGAUUAUUAUUAUAACACCACAAAUAUAUUAAUAUAUUUAUGUGUGGUGUUUAUAUAACAAAUAUUGUGUAUCUCUAACCUAAUAUUUUAUUUAGUAAGCUAUUUUUAGACAGGAAAAAAAUUCGUAAGGUAAGCUCAGGAUGAAAGUAAUGGAGGAUAUUUACAAGAUGUGUCUCUCCGGAACAGCGUUCUCUUGAAAUUAUCGAGAGGCGCGCCUUCCCCUAACAGGGUGCGCCAUGAGGUAAAUACUAACCUUAUUAUUUUGCGAAAUAAAAUUGUGUAUAUAUAUAUUGUAUACAGAGACACGUCCAACACUCCAGUCUUCAAGAUUCAGAGUAAAUAUAUGUCACAACACAUCUUCGCAACACUGUCUUCUCCAACCUGCAUCUUCAAGUCAAGCUCAUACUCCGAAACUGGGGGGUGAUCAUACAGAUUAGAAGAAGGAUUUGGAUAAGAAGAGAACGCCUCAUCCACAUCUAAGACGUGGUAGAAGGUACAUUCUUCUGCUUCAUCCUCGGCUUCCACGGCCUCAUCUCCAGCAUCGGCUUCCGCGGCCUCAUCUUCAGCCUCGGCUUCCGCAGCCUCAUCUUCAGCCUCGGCUUCCGCGGCCUCUCAUUCAGCCUUGGCUUCCGCAGCCUCAUCUUCAGCCUCGGCUUCCGCGGCCUCUCCUUCAGCAUCGGCUUCCGCAGCCUCAUCUCUCCUCCAGCCUUGGCUUCCACAGCCUCAUCUUCAGCCUCGGCUUCCGCGGUCUCUCCUUCAGCCUCGGCUUCCGCAGCCUCAUCUCUCCUUCAGCCUCGGCUUCCGCGGCCUCAUCUCUCCUUCAGUCUCGGCUUCCGCGGCCUCAUCUUCAUCAACUCAUCCUCGGCUUCCAUGGCCUCAUCCUCAGCAACCUCGCCAUCGUCUUCAUCAGGCAAACACUACCUUCACAUCCAUCAAGCAAAUGCUGCCUUCACCUCCGUCAAGCGAACAUCAUCUUCGCCUCCGACAAGCAGAAUCAACUUCUUCUUCAAACAACUUCUUCAACAUCAGCUUCAGAGGAAUCUCCCCCAUUCGACUCAGUUGCACUGUUCAGACUCAGCUAUUAUACGGCAACGUAUGGCGUGUCUAAUUAAAGAAUGUCUACAUCUUCUGCACCAAUGAAGAACAACCAAGAUAUGACAUCCCAGGGGAUGAAGGACAUCAAGAUCUCGUCGACAUCUUCAAUGCCACCAAGAUAUGGGGGGUAGCUGUUAUACACAAAAAUCACCAUGAAGACCCGGCCCAUAAAAGAAGAUUAUGAUGGGCUUAAGAGUGGACCAAGCCCAAACUAGCCAUGUAAGUCAGAAAGGAUCACUACACGAAGAUUGGGCGCGCCUUAUCUUAAGGGCGCGCCAAGUUGAAGCUUACAGAGAAAGAUCAUCAUUUGAAGGGCAGAAGGGGACAUAUUUUACCUAGGGGGACGCCUUUGGGUGUGUAUAGAUCCUACUGUUAAUUUGUCGAAGACUCUACCUUGUAGUCUGAGGAGUUGCCCUCCUUGGGAGAUAGAGAAUGAAGAUUAGAGGAGGCCUUGCUCUGUAGUCUGGCGAGUUGUCUUUGUCGGGGAGCUUGUGGAACCUUCUCGAAGAUACGCCCUGGAAGGCUCUAUCUCUGUAGUCUAGCGGGUUGUCCCUGUCGGGGAGUAGAGAAGUGCCCUUGCAUUUGGGGUAAGUUUUGGGUGCUCGAGAGUCUACAAGGCCCAAGACUAGGCCUCAUCGUAUUGGGCCCCUUUCAGGAGGAAGAUAGCAGAAGGGGAAGCCUAAUCCUAUUAGGUUUAGGUUUCCUAAGGAGAAAAGAACUACGUACUGGCUUGAUCCCCUAUAAAUAUAGGGGUACGUAGGCAAAUUAGGGGGACACGAGUUGGGAGCAUCUGGAGGCAACUCGAAACCCUAAUCUCAGCCACCCCAAUAUUUUCCAUCACCACCGCUUAGCCACCGUCACAGAUCUUGAUUCCGGCCACGAACCUCGAAUUUUGUUAACUACCAAAUUCCUCCGUUAACACUAUACUUGUAGUUGCUGAAGAACUACAAAACUUCCGGAGAUCAACCUUCCCACCCCUUACCUUGUGUGUUUUUUCAUCUUGUAAAGGAUGGUUAACGGAAAACUAAUUUUACUUUGCAUAUUGAAAGGCAUGGAAAAUGCUAGAGUCCCUAGAAAACCUCCAAGCAUAUAUAAUGAAAAGAAAGCCAUCAAUUAUAAUCCAACCAGAUUGCCAUACUUAUGCAGUGCAUUGAUCUUUACAGUUGUCUUUGUUGGACAAAAGUAGAAGUUAUCGUAUCAAAAUAGAAAAUGUUACUUGGCUAUUAUUAUGUUAUUUUCAUGUUCUUUCUGUAUUUAAGAAGACGUAUGGAACCAUUUUUUGUAUCAUCUAUCAUGUAUUCAUUGUUUAUGUUUUUGGACAACUGCAUCUUAUGGUUAUCAGUGUUAAACUUGAUUCUUAUAGACAAGUUCUUGAUAAAUUAUUGUUAUUUUAGCUCAGUUUUCUGGAAAUUCUAAUAAUAAUAUAAAUAUGUAAAAGUAAUUAAAGAAAUUUGUCAGUGAAAUGAAUAGUAAAGCAAGAGUAGAGAAAAACACGAAUAUGAAUCUUAUUAUUUUAUUUAAAAAUGCAUCUCUUUAAUCAAAACAUACCACACAAUUACAAAUUAUAGGUAAAUACAACACACGAAUUAUGUAGGUAUAUCCAGAGCAGGAAAACAGGGCAGGACAAGCGGUUUCUUUAUCUUAUAAUUUGCUGAUAGCGUUGUAAUUGCAUCCAUUCCCGCCUAUCCUGAGAAAUUAAAAGAUAUUUUGCAACUCAUUAGCUAGAUAGAGAAAUAGAUUAAAAUGCGAAGAAUGGACUCUAGGUUACUGUUAGUGUUAUAUAUCUAUAUGCAUGCAAACACCAUGCAUGUCGAAUGAACAGAAUAUGUGUAUGAGGAGAAAAGAUGGAAGCAAAUCAAGGUAUGUGUAAUUAAUAGUUAUUGAGGUUCAGAGUGGAUAAAUUUCUGCGUCUAUAAUUUGAUUAAUAUCGAUGACUACCUGAGAAGGGGAAUACAACGGAAUAUCUCUUAGGUGUGAUAAGGAGGUGGUGGAGACUUGUAUUCGUAUCCCUCGUCCUUUUUGGGAGGUGGUGGAGACUUGUAUUCGUAUCCCUUGUCCUUUUUGGGAGGUGGUGGAGACUCGUACUUGUAAGGCGGGGAUUUUUCAUGCUUUGGUGGUGGGCAUUUGUCUUCUUUUGGAGGAGGUGGUGGAGACUUGUACUCGUAUUUUGGUGGUUUUGGCUUGUGGGGUUUAGGUGGUGGAGGGCACUUAGGAGGAGGGGAUGGUGAAGGACACUUGGGAGGAGGUGGUGGUGAGGGACACUUUGGAGGAGGAGGUGGUGAGGGACACUUGGGAGGAGGCGGUGGUGACGGACAUUUGGACGGAGGCGGUGGUGACGGGCACUUGGGAGGAGGAGGUGGUGACGGGCACUUGGGAGGAGGAGGUGGUGAUGGGCACUUGGGAGGUGGUGGUGGUGAUGGACACUUGGGGGGUGGCGGUGGGGAAGGACACUUUGGAGGUGGUGGAGGAUAUUCUUUUGGUGGCGGUGGAGACUCGUACUUGUAUGGCGGAGGAUAUUUCUUAGGUGGUGGUGGAGACUCGUACUUGUAUGGUGGAGGAUAUUUUUUAGGUGGUGGAGGAGACUCAUAUUUGUAUGGUGGUGGAUACUUCUUAGGGGGUGGAGGAGACUCAUACUUGUAAGGCGGCGGAUAUUUUUUCGGUGGUGGUGGAGACUCGUAUUUGUAAGGUGGAGGAUAUUUCUUAGGUGGUGGUGGAGACUCGUACUUGUAAGGCGGUGGAUAUUUCUUAGGUGGUGGCGGAGACUCAUACUUGUAAGGUGGUGGAUAUUUCUUAGGUGGCGGUGGGGAUUCAUACUUAUACGGAGGAGAUUUUUCAGGAGGGGGUGGAGAUUCAUACUUAUAAGGAGGAGAUUUUUCAGGAGGGGGUGGAGAUUCGUACUUGUAAGAUUGUUCAGAAUCAGCAGUGAUGAACACUGGAAAGUUAAGUGACACAAGUAGCACCA